rnacentral:lncRNA from 1 species
CCCAAAGGAGUAUACUGGAGAGAAGAAAAUGGACUGCAAAUGUGAGAUGACGUCAACGAACAUUACAUAACGAUGGGGGCAAGUCACUUAAAAAUCUUCUUGGAAAGAGGCCAUGAAGAAAAUUUUUCUGCAGCAUCUUAAACUAGAGGAAAUGAAGUCUUCCCUGAGUAUUGGAGAGGCUCAGCCAGGGAAGCCAGAGAGGAUGAUGGCUGUCAACACUGGUGAUCAAAGCACUGGAAGAGAAAAAGUGCUACAGAAAAAUAAAAAGGAGGACUAAUAAGUUAAGUUGCCAAGAUGAAAAGGAGGGAGAAAUGGAUUUGGAAUUUGUUCAAGUGCAGAAAGCAAAGAUUGCCAUAGUCUUCCUAAUGCUGGUCUCUCUAGUUUCCUUCUCCCCAAAUACAUUAAAGUAGAGCUAUGUGGCUUAUAGAGAUUUACUUAUCUUCAACUAACUUU